UGGGGAAUAUUGGACAAUGGGCGAAAGCCUGAUCCAGCCAUGCCGCGUGUGUGAAGAAGGUCUUCGGAUUGUAAAGCACUUUAAGUUGGGAGGAAGGGCAUUAACCUAAUACGUUAGUGUUUUGACGUUACCGACAGAAUAAGCACCGGCUAACUCUGUGCCAGCAGCCGCGGUAAUACAGAGGGGGCAAGCGUUAAUCGGAAUUACUGGGCGUAAAGCGCGCGUAGGUGGUUUGUUAAGUUGGAUGUGAAAUCCCCGGGCUCAACCUGUGAACUGCAUUCAAAACUGACUGACUAGAGUAUGGUAGAGUGUGGUGGAAUUUCCUGUGUAGCGGUGAAAUGCGUAGAUAUAGGAAGGAACACCAGUGGCGAAGGCGACCACCUGGACUAAUACUGACACUGAGGUGCGAAAGCGUGGGGAGCAAACA
rnacentral:rRNA from 1 species